UACGUAGGGUGCGAGCGUUUGUUCGGAAUUACUGGGCGUAAAAGCGCACGUAGGCGGCUUUGUAAGUUAGAGGUGAAAGCCCGGGGCUCAACUCCGGAAUUGCCUUUAAGACUGCAUCGCUAGAAUUGUGGAGAGGUAAGUGGAAUUCCGAGUGUAGAGGUGAAAUUCGUAGAUAUUCGGAAGAACACCAGUGGCGAAGGCGACUUACUGGACACAUAUUGACGCUGAGGUGCGAAAAGCGUGGGGGAGCAAACAGG
rnacentral:rRNA from 1 species